UUUGGGGAACCAUUCUACUAGCCCGGACCGUGAAGGUGAAUUCUUGGACCGUGGCCAGACAAACUACAGCGAAAGCAUUUAAAGGUAUUUUUAUUAAUCAAGAACGAAAGUCAGAGGUUCGAAGGCGAAAGAUACCGCCCUAGUUCUGACCGUAAACGAUGCCAACUAGCGAUCCGCCGAUGGAAAUUAUAUUGCCUUGGUGGGGAGCUUCCCGGAAACGAAAGUCUUCCGGUUCCGGGGGAAGUAUGGUUGCAAAGCUGAAACUUAAAGGAAUUGACGGAAGGGCACCACCAGGAGUGGAGCCUGCGGCUUAAUUUGACUCAACACGGGGAAACUCACCCGGCCCGGACACUGUGAGGAUUGACAGAUUGAUAGCUUUUUCAUGAUUCAGUGGAUGGUGGUGCAUGGCCGUUCUUAGUUCGUGGAGUGAUUUGUCUGGUUUAUUCCGAUAACGAGCGAGACUCUAACCUACUAAAUAGUUGGUACAUACUCUUAGUGUAUACAGCUUCUUAGAGGGAUUUGCGGCGUUCAGCCGAAAGAAAUUGAGCAAUAACAGGUCUGUGAUGCCCUUAGAUGUCCGGGGCUGCACGCGCGCUACACUGGCAAAAUCAACGUGCUUGUCCUACCCUGAAAGGGGCGGGUAAACCAUUGAAAAUUUGCCGUGAUUGGGAUCGGAAAUUGCAAUUAUUUUCCGUGAACGAGGAAUUCCAAGUAAGUGCGAGUCAUCAGCUCGCGUUGAUUACGUCCCUGCCCUUUGUACACACCGCCCGUCGCUGCCCGGGACUGAGCCAUUUCGAGAAAUUUGGGGACCGUUGAUUUAAUUUUUCUAAAUUACUUUUGAUGGAAACCCAAUUUUAAUCGCAGUGGGCUUGAACC
rnacentral:rRNA from 1 species